UACGGAAGGGGCUAGCGGUGUUCGGAAUUACUGGGCGUAAAGAGCGCGUAGGCGGCCUACCAAGUUGGGGGUGAAAUCCCGGAGCUCAACUCCGGAACUGCCUUCAAAACUGGUAGGCUCGAGUCCGGAAGAGGGGCGUGGAAUUCCCAGUGUAGAGGUGAAAUUCGUAGAUAUUGGGAAUAACACCGGUGGCGAAGGCGGCGCGCUGGUCCGGUACUGACGCUGAGGCGCGAAAGCGUGGGGAGUAAACAGG
rnacentral:rRNA from 1 species